UACGUAGGGUGCAAGCGUUAAUCGGAAUUACUGGGCGUAAAGCGUGCGCAGGCGGUUAUGUAAGACAGUUGUGAAAUCCCCGGGCUCAACCUGGGAACUGCAUCUGUGACUGCAUAGCUAGAGUACGGGUAGAGGGGGAUGGAAUUCCGCGUGUAGCAGUGAAAUGCGUAGAUAUGCGGAGGAACACCGAUGGCGAAGGCAAUCCCCUGGACCUGUACUGACGCUCAUGCACGAAAAGCGUGGGGAGCAAACCAGG
rnacentral:rRNA from 1 species